UACGGAGGGUGCAGGCGUUAUCCGGAUUCACUGGGUUUAAAGGGUGCGUAGGUGGAUCGGUAAGUCCGUGGUGAAAUCCCCGAGCUUAACUCGGGAACUGCCGUGGAUACUAUCGAUCUUGAAUACUGUGGAGGUAAGCGGAAUAUGUCAUGUAGCGGUGAAAUGCUUAGAUAUGACAUAGAACACCGAUAGCGAAGGCAGCUUGCUACACAGUCAUUGACACUGAGGCACGAAAGCGUGGGGAGCAAACAGG
rnacentral:rRNA from 1 species